GGCCGAGUGGCGAAACUGGCAGACGCGCCGGAUUCAAAAUCCGGUGCCCGCAAGGGCGUGCCGGUUCGAGUCCGGCCUCGGCUACCA
rnacentral:tRNA from 1 species